rnacentral:rRNA from 1 species
UACAUAGGGUGCAAGCGUUGUCCGGAAUUAUUGGGCGUAAAGAGCUCGUAGGUGGUUCGUUACGUCGGAUGUGAAAAUCUGGGGCUCAACCCCAGACCUGCAUUCGAUACGGGCGAACUAGAGUGUGGUAGGGGAGACUGGAAUUCCUGGUGUAGCGGUGGAAUGCGCAGAUAUCAGGAGGAACACCAAUGGCGAAGGCAGGUCUCUGGGCCAUUACUGACACUGAGAGACGAAAGCUAGGGGAGCAAAUGGG